CACACGCCAGUGCGCUCACACACACUCGCCAGUACGCUCACACACACACACACGCCAGUGCGCUCAGACACAUACACGCGCCAGUGCGCUCAGACACACACACACACACACGCCAGUGCACUCAGACACACACGCCAUUGCACUCACACACACACACAUGCCAGUGUGCUCAGACACACGCCAGUGCGCUCACACACACACACACACCAGUGCGCUCACACACACAUGCCAGUGCGCUCAGACACACACACACGCACACACACAUACACAUGAGUCAGUACGCUCACACGCACACACACACACACGAGCCAAUGCGCUCAGAUGCACACGCGCACACACGCACACCCACGAGCCAGUGCGCUCAGACACACAUGCACACACACACACCAGUGCGCUCACACACACACACCAGUGCACUCACACGCCAGUGUGCUCACACACACACGCCAGUGUGCUCAGACAUACACGCCAGUGCGCUCAGACACACACACGCCAGUGCGCUCACACACACACACGUGCCAGUGCGCUCAGACACACACACACACGUCAGUGCGCUCAGACACACACACGCCAGUGCGCUCACACACACACACACGCCAGUGCACUCAAACACACACACGCCAGUGCGCUCAGACACACGCCAGUACACACACACCAGUGCGCUCACACACACAUGCCAGUGUGCUCACACACACACACACACACACGCCAGUGUGCUCAGACACACACACACACACACGCCAGUGCGCUCAGACACACACACACACACACGCCCAGGUUGAGCACACAUUGCAGUGUACAAGGACCCCAGUUCAAGCCCCAAUGCCCACCUGCAGGGGGAAAGCUUUACGAGUGGUGAAGCAGGGCUGCAAGUCUCGCUUUGUCUUUCUCCUUCUCUGUCUCCUCUCUCAGUUUCUCUCUGUUUUGCCUAAUUAAGAAAUAAUAAUGUGGGGCCAGGUGGUGGUGCACAUGGGUGGGCACACAUGUUGCAGAGCACAAGGACCCAGGUUCAAGCCCCUGAUCCCCACCUGCAGGGGGAAAGCUUCGCAAGUGGUGAAGCAGGGCUGCAGGUGUCUCCCUCUUCUAUUUCCUUCUUCCCUCUGGACUUCUGGCUGCUUCAUUCCAAUAAAUAAAUAAAGGUAAUAAAAAUAUAUAGUUUUGAAAGAAAGGAUACUGUGGUCUGGGAGAUGGCACAGUUACAGAGCCCUGGACUCUCAGGCAUGAGGUCCCAAGUUCAGUCCCUGGCAGCGCAUGUACCAGAGUGAUGUCUGGUUCUUCCUUUCCUCUUAUCUUUACCAUUAAUAAAUAGUAAAAACUUUAAAAA